rnacentral:rRNA from 1 species
AUUGAACGCUGGCGGCAUGCUUUACACAUGCAAGUCGAACGGUAACAGGCCGCAAGGUGCUGACGAGUGGCGAACGGGUGAGUAAUGCAUCGGAACGUGCCCAGUCGUGGGGGAUAACGCAGCGAAAGCUGCGCUAAUACCGCAUACGAUCUCUGGAUGAAAGCGGGGGACCGAAAGGCCUCGCGCGAUUGGAGCGGCCGAUGUCAGAUUAGGUAGUUGGUGGGGUAAAGGCUCACCAAGCCAACGAUCUGUAGCUGGUCUGAGAGGACGACCAGCCACACUGGGACUGAGACACGGCCCAGACUCCUGCGGGAGGCAGCAGUGGGGAAUUGUGGACAAUGGGCGCAAGCCGGAUCCAGCAAUGCCGCGUGCGGGAAGAAGGCCUUCGGGUUGUAAGCUGCUUUUGUACGGAGCGAAACGGUCCUGGUUAAUACCUGGGGCUAAUGACGGUACCGUAAGAAUAAGCACCGGCUAACUACGUGCCAGCCGCCGCAGUAAAAC